rnacentral:rRNA from 1 species
CCUACGGGUGGCAGCAGUGAGGAAUAUUGGUCAAUGGACGUAAGUCUGAACCAGCCAAGUCGCGUGAAGGAUGACUGCCCUAUGGGUUGUAAACUUCUUUUAUAAAGGAAUAAAACGAGGCACGUGUGCCUUUUUGCAUGUACUUUAUGAAUAAGGAUCGGCUAACUCCGUGCCAGCAGCCGCGGUAAUACGGAGGAUCCAAGCGUUAUCCGGAUUUAUUGGGUUUAAAGGGUGCGUAGGCGGAUGGUUAAGUUAGGGGUGAAAUGUCCGAGCUUAACUCGGGAAGUGCCAUUAAUACUGGUGAGCUAGAAAGCAGAUGCGGUAGGCGGAAUGUAUGGUGUAGCGGUGAAAUGCUUAGAGAUCAUACAGAACACCGAUUGCGAAGGCAUCUUACGAAUCUAUAUCUGACGUUGAGGCACGAAAGCGUGGGGAGCAAACAGGAUUAGAUACCCCAGUAGUC